rnacentral:rRNA from 1 species
CUCAGUAACACGUGGAUAACCUACCCUUAGGACUGGAAUAACCCCGGGAAACUGGGGAUAAUACCGGAUAGAUCAGGGAUGCUGGAAUGCACCUUGAUCCAAAGCCCCGGCGCCUAAGGAUGGGUCUGCGGCCUAUCAGGUUGUAGUGGGUGUAACGUACCUACUAGCCAACGACGGGUACGGGUUGUGAGAGCAAGAGCCCGGAGAUGGAUUCUGAGACACGAAUCCAGGCCCUACGGGGUGCAGCAGGCGCGGAACCUUUACAAUGUGCGAAAGCAUGAUAAGGGGACUCCGAGUGCCAGCAUCUAAUGCUGGCUGUCCUUGUGCCUAAAAAGCGCAAGAUAGCAAGGGCCGGGUAAGACCGGUGCCAGCCGCCGCGGUAACACCGGCGGCCCGAGUGGUAGCCGCUAUUAUUGGGUCUAAAGGGUCCGUAGCCGGUUCGGUAGGUCCUUUGGGAAAUCUGGUUGCUUAACAAUCAGACUGCCAAGGGAUACUGCUGAACUUGAGACCGGGAGAGGUAAGAGGUACUUCAGGGGUAGGAGUGAAAUCUUGUGAUCCCUGGGGGACCAUCUGUGGCGAAGGCGUCUUACCAGAACGGGUCUGACGGUGAGGGACGAAAGCUGGGGGCGCAAACCGGAUUAGAUACCCGGGUAGUCCCAGCCGUAAACGAUGCUCGCUAUGUGUCAGGUACGGUGCGACCGUAUCUGGUGCCGUAGGGAAGCCGUGAAGCGAGCCACCUGGGAAGUACGGUCGCAAGACUGAAACUAAAG